AGUGGUUCCUUGUGGCCAUGCUGCUCCCUGUGGGCUGGGCCCUUCAGCAAUCCCCAGAUACAGUCGUCCGGGUGGGAGACACCGUGACUCUGGAAUGUUCUGCAUCAGGGAAAACUUUCGUAAACAUGUACUGGUACAAGUUACCCGUGGAGAAGGAUGCCAGUAUGCAGUUGGUUGUAUAUUCAGUGGAAGGUGGCAAAGCAGAUAUUGAGAAGGAAUUCAAAAAUCGCUUCCAGAGUAAUGGGACUAGGAACAACCAUUUAUCUGUGAAGAUAGAGCAUGCCCUGCUCAAUGACACAGGCACAUAUUUCUGUGCUGAACAAGAUAAUGGUGUGAAUAAUGAGCAAUUGUUCUUUGGCAGUGGGACAAAACUUACAGUCAUAGGGAAGAAUGAUGAAAUCAUACCUCCAGCUGUGGCCAUCUUUUCCCCAUCAAAGCAGGAGAUCCAGCAGAAGAGCAAGGCCACCCUGGUGUGCCUGGCCUCUGGUUUCUACCCUGACCACCUGACUCUGGGAUGGAGGGUGAAUGGUGUGAAAAGGACUGAAGGGGUGGGGACAGACGAGUACUCCACACGGAAUGGGAGCACCUACUCACUGACCAGCCGACUGAGGAUGCCAGCCUGGGAAUGGUUCAACCCUCUGAAUCGAUUUGAGUGUUUUGCCAAUUUUUUUCAGAAUGGAACAACAGCAUCAAUAAACAAAUUUAUCUAUGGUGAUGCUGGUUGUGCACUCACAGAAGAGUCCUACUUGCGGUAUGGAAAUUCCCUGAAGCUCACUUACCUCAUCCUCUGUGGCAAAGCCUUGGUCUAUGCAGUUUUGGUGAGUGGUCUGGUGUGGACAGCCAAGACUGGUGUCAAGUUAUCUAGAGAAUAAAUGAAGAGCCCUUGUCAUGACAUCAGCAGGAACAUGACAAGUUCACUGCCUUUCCAUAGCAAAAUAUCUAUGCUUCUACGAACUUCUGAAUAUAAUUUUUUGGUAAUUGUCUGUUGCCAUCCUGUUCUUCUCUUUGUUGUAAUCACUGCUGAGCUUUCCCUGUACUUCCAUAUCAUAAUGUAUCAUAAUAUUUCAUUGUAACAUAUCUUUAAAAGUAGCACCUUCUUAAUGCUCUGAGGCUGAGAACUCAUCUCUUUGAUUUAGGAAUAAAGUGUUUGCUUCUUUUCCC